rnacentral:tRNA from 1 species
GGGCGAGUGUCGGAACUGGUAGACGAGCAUGACUUAGGAUCAUGUGGGUAAUCCCCGUGGGAGUUCGAGUCUCCCCUCGCCCA